rnacentral:rRNA from 1 species
UAUGUGAUCGUCUCUCGCAUAUCAAUAAGCGGAGGAAAAGAAACUAACAAGGAUUCCCCUAGUAACGGCGAGUGAAGCGGGAAGAGCUCAAAUUUGAAAUCUUAAAGGGUUUCCCUUUACGAAUUGUAGUUUAAAGAAGUGUUUUCUGUUGAGGUUUUGGUAAAAGUUCUUUGGAAUAGGACAUCAUAGAGGGUGAGAAUCCCGUAUUUGACCUUUACUUUCAACUUUGUGAUACACUUUCAAAGAGUCGGAUUGUCUGGGAAUGCAGUCCAUAAAUGGGUGGUAAAUUUCAUCUAAAGCUAAAUAUUGGCGAGAGACCGAUAGCGAACAAGUACCGUGAGGGAAAGAUGAAAAGAACUUUGAAAAGAGAGUUAAACAGUACGUGAAAUUGUCAAAAGGGAAGCGUUUGACACCAGUAGUUGUUUUUCUGAAAAUCAAUUAAAGAACUGUUUAUGCUAAGCUGUUUAGACUUUAUCAGCUAUCUGUUUAGUUUUGAGCUUUUCUUUAAUGCACUUUUCAGUUAACAAGUCAACAUCAAUUUCUUUUGCUGUAAAAAAGCUUGAGGAAGGUGGCUUGAGAUUCGUCUUAAGUGUUUAUAGCCUCUUGCCUAUGCAGUCGGAGAGAUUGAGGUCUGCAGCGUAGAUCCUUCGGGGCUAAAUGCAUUUGUGCUAAGUUAUAGCAUUUUAUAGACAACUUGUUGACUAUGAUUUGUCUUGUAGCUUACUCGCUUAUGUUAUUUUACCUACGCUUAGGAUGUUGAGUAGCGACAUACGCAC